ensembl:lncRNA LINC01497 long intergenic non-protein coding RNA 1497
GUGUGUUGAAGUCAGCAGAUAGCACACCUGCUGCUGCGUGAGUUCCUUCUGCCAAGCAGAGCAGCACAGCUGCAAGACACCCUGCUUCUGGCUCUGAGCUUUGCUUGUCUUCAGGGAUGGAGCCCCUCCCAAGGCAAGUUCAACUGGGUUCUUUGGCAGCCGAAGUCUACACGGACCCUGCAGGGAGCGGUGGAGAAAAAUAUAUUGAUCAUGAGGAGAGGGCUCACCCCUCACCCGGAGAAGUAGUUGGGGAAGCAAUAUGCGGAAACAAAGCCAUGAAUCUGACAAGAAAUGUACUUAAGGUAAGUAAUAAGAUUGGGUUGCAUUUUUAUGAUGUGCUACAAAAAAAAUGUCCUCAAAAAAUCUAGCUCUGGAAGCCAACCAUUAUUCACUUUGGGGGAGCAUGCCAUGCAAAAGAUCUCCUGGUUUUGGGAAAUCACACAGUGACCUAUGUUGUUUCUGCUGCCUACCGAGGAACACGGACGCAGCUUCAGUCUAAGAAAGAACGUUCAAUUGAGGCAGUCACUUUCUCUGGGCCAAAUUACAUUCUUCAUAAUCUCCCAAGUGUUAUAUUUAAUUUACAUUUGAAAUAGAAAAUAUGUGAACAUAGACUUUGGCUCACGAAUUAUUUCAGUUUUCUGAAUUCAGGAGAAUGUGCUUGUUGAAGCAGAUGUUUCUGAAUUUUAUUUUAUUACUGAAAUUUCCACAAAUAUAAAUCAUUUAAAAAUACAUGAUUUAAGAGUUUAAUAACCUGAAAAUGACCACCCAGCAAAGUUUUUGUAUCUUUCCUCAGCAUUUCUGAUCAUGUGUUUUCAAGAAAGCAUUGAAUUUUUUAGCAAAGCUUCUCAUGCAGAUAAUCUCUUAAAGGUUUAAAUCUCUUACGGAGCAUAAGAAAAAUAAACUAUUUUUUGACUUCAAUCUAAAUGGAAUUCUGUACUCUUCACAAGCCCCUGAAUAUUUCAUAACUCUGAAAGAUGCAAAUGUAAAUUUCCUAUGAAUCCCGAUUUUAUUCAAAGAUUGAAGCCCUAUCACCUCACUUAGAACAAAUUUCAUCCAUUAACAACUAUCUUGCAGGUAAAGGGAAGCCAAAUAUAAGUAAAGUACUAACAAGGCCAAUUACGUUCAGGUGCAUGGAUGAUUAAUCAUAAAAUUCACAACGGAGGACACUCUGUGGGUAAGGAAUAUGAUUCCUUUUUGCAAAUAAUGUGGUAUAUGUAUAUAUUUUUCUUCUCUUCUCCUUUCACAUGCACUGUUUAGAUUGUAUAUAUGGAGAUGAAUACCCAUUGUCCUUUGCACUUUCUGGAUGAUAAAUUAGAAAAGAAAAAUCCAAAGAAUGAAGUUGUGCUAUUUGUCCUCACUUCUGAUUUGGGAAACUAGAGGAAAUUAAGAUGGUUAGUAUUGCUAUGAUUUUUUUCCCCCUGAACCCUAGGAAAUAGGAAUUUAAAGUCCUUAAAUAUAUUUUCUAUAAUCAACAAAUUAUAAAGUUAUUUUCACUAAUCUUUUUGAAAAUACAAAUAUAAGCCAGAGGUUCUUAUUCAUGGCUCAUUUCUCAGGACUUCAUAAGACCAUGAAGCACAGUGAAACCCAUAUAUUGAAUAGGUCUCAUGCAAUCUGC